AUCUAUGGCCAGACCCAAUCUGAGCUGGAGCAGGAGCCAGAACAACUUAGAAGCCUCUCCUACCCGUCUGCCUUCUUGCCCUCCUACUCCGUCCUUCCGUCAGUCAUGGAGCAUUGUCCGCAGAAGGGAACGAAUUUACAUCUCUGGAUUGGGGCAAGUAAGGGUUUCCGAAACCAUCUCAGAGCUGGUUGGGAAGUGAGAUCUCCCCCGGAAAACGGUUGGUUGCAAGAAUGCUGGGAAGGAAAACUCAGGGAAAGGAACCCAGACGUCCAACAUGCAGCGUUGGUGUGGGUCAGGCACGGCCAAGUGAUGGAGGACGAAGAGGUCCAGGAAGGGAAAAGAGCUCCAACCUAUGUCACAGAAGUUCCCUGUGUUCCUCCUGGCUCUUUGUUCAAGACAGCAAAAGAGGAUCCCAAGCAUAGAGGCCUUGCCAUGGUCGGCACCAUGGCCCUGAAUGGGACCAUCGCACUGCUGAGGGGCACCCGCUGGGCGAGCCUGCAGCCAUCCUAUUACUGAGGGGCACCCACUGGGCGAGCCUGCAGCCAUGCUAUUCCUGUGAGGGGCACCUGCUGGGCGAGCCUGCAGCCAUCCUAUUACUGAGGGGCAUCCAUGGGGCGAGCCUGCAGCCAUCCUAUUACCGAGGGGCACCCGCUGGGUUAGCCUGCAGCCAUCCUAUUACCGAGGGGCACCCGCUGGGCGAGCCUGCAGCCAUCCUAUUCCUGCUGAGGGGCACCCGCUGGGCGAGCCUGCAGCCAUCCUAUUGUGUGUUCCGUUUCCUGUGGGAUUCCCCUGGCUCCUCCCCAGCUUUCACCCAGCAUUUCUAACGGCCGGAGGGGAUGUCUAGCCAGUGCUUCAGUUCUUCUGUCUUUUCAUAUACACUGGAUUUAUUUUCAAAGGUAAGAGCCAGAUGAUUACUCAAGAUUCAUUAUGCUGCCACCAAGGAAAGUACAUGGACUUUGUGACAGCGCUUUUCCUCGGUGCUUUUCCUCCUACUUACAGUGCCUACUGAUGUCGAUGGAAAUCUGACUGGCUGAAUAAUGACGCUGUGUAGUAGUCAUUGUAACAACAACAACAACAACAAAAUAAUAAUAAUAAUAAUAAUGAGAAGAGCGG
rnacentral:lncRNA from 13 species